UACGGAGGGAGCUAGCGUUGUUCGGAAUCACUGGGCGUAAAGGGUGCGUAGGUGGUUUUUUAAGUCAGGGGUGAAAUCCUGGAGCUCAACUCCAGAACUGCCUUUGAUACUGGGAAUCUUGAGUUCGGGAGAGGUGAGUGGAACUGCGAGUGUAGAGGUGAAAUUCGUUGAUAUUCGCAAGAACACCAGUGGCGAAGGCGGCUCACUGGCCCGAUACUGACACUGAGGCACGAAAGCGUGGGGAGCAAACAGG
rnacentral:rRNA from 1 species